rnacentral:rRNA from 1 species
AAUGGGGGAAACCCUGAUGCAGCGAUGCCGCGUGAGUGAAGAAGGCCCUUGGGUUGUAAAACUCUUUCGUCGGGGAAGAAAAUGACUGUACCCGAAUAAGAAGGUCCGGCUAACUUCGUGCCAGCAGCCGCGGUAAUACGAAGGGACCUAGCGUAGUUCGGAAUUACUGGGCUUAAAGAGCUCGUAGGUGGUUAAAAAAGUUGAUGGUGAAAUCCCAAGGCUUAACCUUGGAACUGCCAUCAAAACUUUUUAGCUAGAGUGUGAUAGAGGUAAGUGGAAUUUCUAGUGUAGAGGUGAAAUUCGUAGAUAUUAGAAAGAACACCAAAUGCGAAGGCAACUUACUGGGUCACUACUGACACUGAGGAGCGAAAGCAUGGGUAGCGAAGAGGAUU